CAUGGAAGUCGAAAUCCG
rnacentral:snRNA from 1 species